rnacentral:rRNA from 1 species
GUGCCAGCAGCCGCGGUAAUACCGGCAGCCCAAGUGAUGGCCGCUGUUAUUGGGCCUAAAGCGUCCGUAGCUUGCUGUGUAAGUCCAUUGGGAAAUCCACGCGCUCAACGCGUGGGCGUCCGGUGGAAACUGCACGGCUUGGGGCCGAGAGACUCGACGGGUACGUCCGGGGUAGGAGUGAAAUCCUAUAAUCCUGGACGGACCACCAAUGGGGAAACCACGUCGAGAGACCGGACCCGACAGUGAGGGACGAAAGCCAGGGUCUCGAACCGGAUUAGAAACCCCGGUAGUCC